rnacentral:rRNA from 1 species
CUUUUGGAGAGUUUGAUCCUGGCUCAGGGUGAACGCUGGCGGUAUGCCUAAGACAUGCAAGUCGCACGGACUGUUUCGGCAGUUAGUGGCGGACGGGUGAGUAACACGUAGGUGACCUGCCCCAAAGUCGGGGACAACUAGGAGAAAUCUUAGCUAAUCCCCGAUGUGGACCCACCCCCUGGGGUGUGUCUA